UGGGGAAUAUUGCACAAUUGGCGCAAGCCUGAUGCAGCCAUGCCGCGUGUGUGAAGAAGGCCUUCGGGUUGUAAAGCACUUUCAGCGGGGAGGAAGGCGAUAAGGUUAAUAACCUUGUCGAUUGACGUUACCCGCAGAAGAAGCACCGGCUAACUCCGUGCCAGCAGCCGCGGUAAUACGGAGGGUGCAAGCGUUAAUCGGAAUUACUGGGCGUAAAGCGCACGCAGGCGGUCUGUCAAGUCGGAUGUGAAAUCCCCGGGCUCAACCUGGGAACUGCAUUCGAAACUGGGAGGGUAGAGUGUUGUAGAGGGGGGUAGAAUUCCAGGUGUAGCGGUGAAAGGCGUAGAGAUCUGGGGGAAUACCGGUGGCGAAGGCGGCCCCCUGGACAAAGACUGACGCUCAGGUGCGAAAGCGUGGGGAGCAAACAGG
rnacentral:rRNA from 1 species